rnacentral:lncRNA from 1 species
GAGUCUGUGUGUUUUGUUAAAUGUUGCCAAGCAGAGCAGCUUAUCUGACCAUCUGCAUCUGUCCCUGAAUUUUGGGCAGUGGCUUGGGGACGCAUUAUCCCAAGGAGCUUCCUUCCAGCUACGCGUGUGCCGUGUCCCCUCGCGGUGGCCGCAGAUGGGCUGAUGGCCGCUCUGUGACCAGGCUCUGGCUUGGCUUUGGCAGGCUGGCAUCCUGCAGCUGCCCCGGGCCCUGGCAGAGCCCCAAAUGUGCCUCCAGAUGCCUGGAAAUCUGCUGGCUUCUGGGAGCUCAUAGCUGGGAGCUAAGAACUACUUGUCAUUCACCAUCUGAUGCUGUGGAGUACUAAACAGUAAAUUUGUGCACAUCUUCAAUUUCAGGUGCCUAUAUUUACAGAGCUCUUGCACUUCCCCCCCAUUGUCCUGUGUCUCUCUGGAGCCUUCAACAACUAAAGGGAAAAGAUGAAGAGCUGCUUAUGACUUGCUUCAAAAAGAGCAGCAGUAGAAUUCAACAAGCCUA